rnacentral:lncRNA from 1 species
CGUUUGUUUAUGUAAUAUAUACGUGUUUCUCGUUUCUCGUUUUGUUUAUAUAGAUUAGACCGUUGGUUUUCCCGUUUGAAUGGUUUUACACUAGUAAUUUUGGGGCCCUUUAUAGCUUGUUGUUCGGUGUGAGCCAAGGCUCCGUGUUGAAGGCCGUACUUCAACCUAUAAUGGUUUACUUUUUAAAUUGUUAUUUGGAUGGAGAGUUGUCUCAUUGGCACUCAC